AGGUGGUGCAUGGUUGUCGUCAGCUCGUGUCGUGAGAUGUUGGUUAAGUCCCGCAACGAGCGCAACCCCUAUUGUUAGUUUGCCAUCAUUCAGUUGGGCACUCUAGCGAGACUGCCGGUAAUAAACCGGAGGAAGGUGGGGAUGACGUCAAAUCAUCAUGCCCCUUAUGACCUGGGCUACACACGUGCUACAAUGGUUGGUACAACGAGUUGCGAGUCGGUGACGGCGAGCUAAUCUCUUAAAGCCAAUCUCAGUUCGGAUUGUAGGCCGCAACUCGCCUACAUGAAGUCGGAAUCGCUAGUAAUCGCGGAUCAGCACGCCGCGGUGAAUACGUUCCCGGGCCUU
rnacentral:rRNA from 1 species